UUGAACGCUGGCGGCAGGCCUAACACAUGCAAGUCGAGCGGAUGAAGGGAGAUUGCUCCUGGAUUCAGCGGCGGACGGGUGAGUAAUGCCUAGGAAUCUGCCUGGUAGUGGGGGAUAACGUCCGGAAACGGGCGCUAAUACCGCAUACGUCCUGAGGGAGAAAGGGGGGGAUCUUCGGACCUCACGCUAUCAGAUGAGCCUAGGUCGGAUUAGCUAGUUGGUGGGGUAAAGGCCUACCAAGGCGACGAUCCGUAACUGGUCUGAGAGGAUGAUCAGUCACACUGGAACUGAGACACGGUCCAGACUCCUACGGGAGGCAGCAGUGGGGAAUAUUGGACAAUGGGCGAAAGCCUGAUCCAGCCAUGCCGCGUGUGUGAAGAAGGUCUUCGGAUUGUAAAGCACUUUAAGUUGGGAGGAAGGGCAGUAAGUUAAUACCUUGCUGUUUUGACGUUACCAACAGAAUAAGCACCGGCUAACUUCGUG
rnacentral:rRNA from 1 species